rnacentral:rRNA from 1 species
AAAUCAACCGAGAUUCCCCCAGUAGCGGCGAGCGAACGGGGAGCAGCCCAGAGUCUGAAUCAGCUUGUGUGUUAGUGGAAGCGUCUGGAAAGUCGCACGGUACAGGGUGAAAGUCCCGUACACGAAAAUGCACAGGCUGUGAACUCGAAGAGUAGGGCGGGACACGUGGUAUCCUGUCUGAAUAUGGGGGGACCAUCCUCCAAGGCUAAAUACUCCUGACUGACCGAUAGUGAACCAGUACCGUGAGGGAAAGGCGAAAAGAACCCCGGCGAGGGGAGUGAAAAAGAACCUGAAACCGUGUACGUACAAGCAGUGGGAGCACCUUCGGGUGUGACUGCGUACCUUUUGUAUAAUGGGUCAGCGACUUAUAUUCUGUAGCAAGGUUAACCGUAUAGGGGAGCCGAAGGGAAACCGAGUCUUAACUGGGCGUUAAGUUGCAGGGUAUAGACCCGAA